GAGGGUAUAGAUCAGUGGUAGAGUGCAUGCCUGGCAUGUGCAAAGUCCUGGGUUCAAUCCCCAGUACCUCCA
rnacentral:tRNA from 1 species